rnacentral:lncRNA from 1 species
AAGUUCUGAGGGUACCCCUCACUCAAGCUCCAGGCGUCAGGAAAAGAACAUUCCACGAAGUCCAUCUGGAAGACGGUCCUUUCCCUGCUGCCCCCAGCUUCUAGAACAUUCCCUGGAACACAGCAAGUGUUCAGUAUUGUUCAUGGAGUGACAGAUGUCUCAGCCAAGAAGGUACAAUCACAGGGAAGAAUGACUUCAACUGGUCUUGACUUCAACCUGCUUCCAGCCUGGUUCCCUUCUCCCACCUCCCUACAGCCCACAGAAGAUCUUUUCCAAACUGGAAGUCUGUCCAGGUCAUUCUUCUGCUCUAAGGCUUUCAGUAGCUCCCCCUUAUCCCCAGGAGGAAGUCCAAAUGCCUUAACAAGUGUCAAGGAACACUUGGUGAGCCCUGCUUUCCUUGCUAGUCACUCGUGCACAGCUGAGUCUUUCCCCAGAGUGGAUGUCAUUCAUGCUGUUCCCAUUGCCUGGAUUCCUGCUCCUCUCCACCCCAUUCAAC